GUAAUUGAUUACAUUUCCAGGCAUUGCUGCCCAAGAAACCAAACACUCAUACUACAGGCAUGGGACAGUGCGACCGCAUUCGAGGCCACCACCCAACGGACGCUGCAGGGGCCAUCACCCCUCCCUUUCGAGAGAGAGCCCAAACCGCAGGUACCAGGCGGAAAGCCCACCGGAGCGAGUCGAGACCGAGGGUCGAUCACCGGCACAAGGCCAGAACCGCACGAGGCGGAGACCCGUUUAUUAAAAAAACCGACAUAGAAGAACCGACAAUGAUCCUUCCGCAGGUUCACCUACGGAAA
rnacentral:misc_RNA from 1 species